UUAAUAGAAACCAAAAACAGAGGUAUCUUAUUGUUAAUAAGAACAAUGAGUCAUUGUACUCCUAUUAAA
rnacentral:tRNA from 1 species